GGGGGCUCUGGGGCAGGGAGGGGACUUUAUGGUUGAAAUACAAUUUGGAGAGGGUUUCAUCUCACUUCAGGCAGAAUCUGCGGAUGCUGGGGUCGCGAUGGGGCAUUACAAACCCCUAAAAUACACCUGGGGCCAGAUUUUCAAGCGCUCUACCCCCGCCCCCACCGGUGAGAGCAAUAAGGAAUUUCCCCACCUCUUUCUCCAGGGGAACGGAGACUCUGCCCAGAGCUGCAGUACGAAAAGCCGCGAUGCCAUGUUCGCUUCACUUUGCUUUCCUAAAAAACCUGGUCCUGGCAAGUCCAAAGCGCAGAGCAGGCCCUCGCUAACACGCUCUGAUUCUUAAUACGAGCCACCUGUCCGACCAAGGCUGGGUCAGCUGCAUUCACAGAUCUUUCAGAGCCGGGGAUUAGCAAAACCUGAGACGGCUCAUUGAACUUCGCUGGCUAAGGGCGUGACCCGAGAGGAGCUGAACCAGUCCUGGCUCCCACUGGCUUCACCACCGCUACCGGUCAGGUCCUAAUACCGUUACCCUGAGCAAGGGGCUUCAACCCCCGGUCUCAAGGACAUUGAGACGAAGCACAGACCUGUCCCGGAGUGCAGCCAAGGCGGGGGCUUCUGAAGGGAAACUGGGUUUGAUCCCGGUCUGGCUGGGCUCUUCCUUGAAGCCGACCCUGAAAGGCGGUGUGUGGAGCAGCGGGGAGACUGAAGCCCCAGAGGUCCGUCUCCGCGGCACCAGAGGCCCUAGGAUGAGCCGAAAGCUCCGAUCCGUAAAGCCCCCAGGGGUGCAGUAUAAUGACUUCAGACUUGACUCUUCUCAUGAGCAACAUGACAAGCCAGUUAUGAAACAAGAGGGGACAGCCUGCCAGAGAGCAUUGCUUUGUUCAGAAGAGCUUCUCGGCCUCCGCUGACACAUUCACCUACGGCAUCUCGGCUGUCGAGUAAAGGAUCGUGGAGGAUUCAUUGGUUAUUGCAAAAAGCUUUGUAGAGAGAUGUUUUAAACAAUCCCAAACUAGUGUCUACCCUUUUACUGACCAUCUUCUGUAGCAGGCUCUAGCUUGCAAUGUGGGAACCAUUAGCUAAUCUUCUAGAUCUAGUUUUGGGUCCAGUCCUACAAGCCACAGCUUGGUGUUGGUUCCCAUUGCUAUCAAGGUGCAGCCCCUCACAGAACUGGGUCCUACGUAGCCAGUCUUGGCAGGCUGCUGCACGGAGGGGGUUCUCUAACACACAGGUGCAAUUAGCUAGAAUUGUUUUCUGGUAGUCUCUUCAUUCACACCCUGACUUUUUUUUUCUCCUUUUUUUAUCUCCUUUUUUUUCUUUUUUCCCCUUUUUUUAAAGAGACCAUUGAGUGUGAGGGGGAAAAUAGUGUCACCAGGGGGAAAAUAGUGUCACCAGAAAGUUAAAAUUUCACCAGGUGGCUUACAUGGCAUAUGCCUCCCCUGUCACACAUACAGCCCUGGUAGAGCACCCUUCCAGUUGGAUGCACCCCAGCCAUUUGUGUUUGGCCCCAACCUCCCUGGGCCCCUAGUACUUUUUAAAUGUCUGGAGUCUGAACAGAGUCCAGGCCAACUGGGGGCUGUAGGCAAACUCCUGGGGUACUGAUCUGUGUAGUACCCCCUUUUGAGAGAGGUGACCCUGCAGUCCAGCUCCAGGAACCACUGCUGACCCCUCAGACUUCCCAUAACAUAAGCAGUUGUAGGGGGUGGGGGGGUGUGUGCUCUGGGCUUGCAGUUUUAACUCUUCAAGGGCACGUGAUAGUGAAAGCCAAGAGCCAGGUCUGUAUUUUUUGUCUAGAUCUAAGUAAAGAGCAGUGUGCAGUCUGUCUGCAUUUCCUUGCCU